GACGAACGCUGGCGGCGUGCCUAAUACAUGCAAGUCGAACGCAGUGGGGACGGGUGAGUAACACGUGGGUAACCUCCCAUCAGAGGGGAUAACACUUGGAAACAGGUGCUAAACCGAUACUGAUGGAUGGACCCGCGGUGCAUUAGCUAGUUGUUGAGGUAACGGCUCACCAAGGCCACGAUGCAUAGCGGGCCGGGGAGGGUGAUCGGCAAGACUGGGACGGAGACACGGCCCGGACUCCGACGGGAGGAAGAAGUAGGGAAUCUUCGGAAAUGGACGAAAGUCUGACCGAGCAACGCGGCGUGAGUGAAGAGGGUUUUCGGAUCGUAAAACUCUGUUGUUAGAAAAACGGUAUCUAACCAGAAAGCCACGGCUAACUACGUGCCAGCAGCCGCGGUAAUC
rnacentral:rRNA from 1 species